rnacentral:rRNA from 1 species
CAUGGAGGGUGAGAAUCCCGUCCGGUUGAUCAUUUGCGUUUUACGAUACGCUUUCUAAGAGUCAAGUUGUUUGGGAUUGCAGCUUAAAAUGGGAGGUAAAUUUCUCCUAAGGCUAAAUAACGGCGAGAGACCGAUAGCGAACAAGUACCGUGAGGGAAAGAUGAAAAGAACUUUGAAAAGAGAGUUAAACAGUACGUGAAAUUGUUGAAAGGGAAACGAUUGAAGCCAGUCGUACCUUCGGGUAAUCAGCCUUUCGGGUGCGAUUCUGUGGAGUGUGAGGAGCUUAACACCUUCAUGCUUUGCAUAUUCGUACUCUUGGGUGUACUUGCCCGUGUGGUUGGUUAACAUCAAUUUUGGUGGUCAUAAAAUGACGGGAGGAAUGUAGCUUCGAUCUCGUAUUGAAGUGUUAUAGCCUUCGGUAGAUGUGAUGAUCAAGAUUGAGGAUUGCAACGGAUACCCUUCGGGGCUACCUGUCUGGUCUCUGAUCGUUGCUCUGGUGCCGAAAGCUUGCUUACGGUUAUCAAAGUCGAUGGUCAAAAGGUUAGAAUGGGUUAAAUUCGUUAAGGAUGUUGACGUAAUGG